rnacentral:rRNA from 1 species
UACGUAGGGUGCGAGCGUUAAUCGGAAUUACUGGGCGUAAAGUGUGCGCAGGCGGCCGCGCAAGUCGAGUGUGAAAGCCCCGAGCUCAACUUGGGAAUUGCGCUCGAAACUACGUGGCUGGAGUGUGGCAGAGGAAGGUGGAAUUCCAGGUGUAGCGGUGAAAUGCGUAGAGAUCUGGAGGAACACCGAUGGCGAAGGCAGCCUUCUGGGCCAACACUGACGCUCAUGCACGAAAGCGUGGGGAGCAAACAGG